AUUUGCAAAAAUUUUUUACAAAAUAUACGAUAGUUCAAAGAUUAAAAAAUGGAAAAAUAUACAGGACCUCCAAUCAGUCAGAAACUUGACAUGAAUUUUGGAGAAAGAUCAUUGCUGGAUGAAAAUUUUAAGGGAGAAUUUACGAACGCUCUUCUUGCUGCCAGAUUUAUUUACGAAAAACAGAAUCUGUUAACAAAUAAUCCUCCUGAAAAAAUGAGCUCUGUCUCUUUGGCUAUGGCAAAUGAAAUAAGUAAAGCAACAAUAAAUGUGCUCAAUGAAGGUGUAAUUGUAAUGGAAGAAAAACUGAUUUUGUUCAGUGAAGACGAUGGUGAAGAAGAUUUUGAGGAGGUGUGUUUUAUUGUUUCUUUUACAAUUGCAAUGAUAUUUUAUUAAAUUUCCUGAUAAUUGCAAAAGCACAACUUUUUCAUUUUUUUUUAGUGUACAGAUGAUCCAACGGUCGAUCCUGAUUAUAAUCCAAAAGAUUUUGAAGAACCUUCAUGUGAAUAUAUUCCGUUGGAAUAUAAGCAGAAAGUUGUGGCUCUUGCCGAAGCACAUCCAAAAUGGAGUUUGGCCAAUCUCCAGAAAAAGGGUGCUCAUCGAUUGAAAAGAAAGGAUUACCUUAAGCGGUGGAAGGAAGACGUUAAAAAAGGUGGAACGCGAAUUGACAAAUUAAGAGCAAUAGAUUCUGAAACUUACCACCGUUUCAUCGAAGCAAGACGCUCUUUGGAGCAGAUUACUACUAGGACAUUGCAACAAUGGGCGAUGACAGCAGCUUUCCCUUUCCUUUCGGAUGACUUUCGGUUUGAAGCUAGUUCUACAUGGGUAACAGUUUUCAAGCAAAAGCAUAAAAUAAAGCAGCGAAAAAUUACAAAAUAUGUGAGUAAAAGAGACAUCGCUACCAUGGAGGAAACAGUAGAAGCUGCAGAAAAAUUUCAGAGACAAACGAGAAAACUAAUUUCUAAAUUUGAUUUGGAUCUUGUGAUCAACACAGAUCAAACAGGUUGCCAAUAUCAAAUGACAUAUAACAGAUCAUAGGACUAUCAAGGAGUUAAAACCGUAUUAGUGAAAAAGCAAAGUUUGAAUAAGAUAACUCAUUCAUACACCGCACAGUACAGUAUAACUGCGUCAGGCAAGUUGCUUCCCCGAGUCUUUUUGUGCCUACAAGAGCCCACAAAUAAGUUUGGCCCUAUAGUUUCAAAAGCUAUAGAGAAAUUACAAGCAGAAUUAAAAAAUGUUGUAGUUACUUGUUUUAAAUCAGGAAAAUUAACAAAAUAUUUAUAUGAAGAAUUUCUAAAAAGUAUUCUCGUGCCAUACGUAAAAAAUGAAAAAUUUCUAUUAAUUAUUGAUUCUUGGGAAAGGCAAACAGAUUGCAGUUUACAUGAUAAUAUUUGAAAAUGAUUCUGGAGAAGCGACUUGUACAUUAAAAUUCAUUCUUCCUAAAUGUACGCCUCUUUGUCAACCGUGUGACGUAUAUUUUUAUCGGCAGGUUAAAAUUUUGAUAAAACGUUUACAAAAUAAUUCUGCGUUAUUAAAAGAUCAGCGAGAAAUAGCAUCGCGCGAAGAUGCCAUAAAAAUACAUUCAUUGGUUCACUAUCAAUUAAGCGCUCCCGUCUUUUCUCCCAUGUUAAAGUAUGCUUGGUUUGCUGCAAAAUUAAUACAGGAUAAAUCAGUUUUUUUAAAUGUAAACGACGUCUGCUUUCCUCUAGCACUUUUGAAAAAGAAUUGUGCGUGUUGUGAUAUAUCAUUUAUAAAGUGUGCAUGGUGUGAGCAAAAUCUUUGUUUCACGUGCUUCUAUGACAAGUAUCAUCCAAAUAAUUGUAAACAAUUUGUACAAGACGUUGAUAGUGAUAACGACGAUAAAUAAAAAUGUUAGCACAUUAUUACGCA